rnacentral:rRNA from 1 species
AUACGGAGGGUGCAAGCGUUAAUCGGAAUUACUGGGCGUAAAGCGCGCGUAGGCGGCUUAUUAAGUCAGAUGUGAAAUCCCCGGGCUCAACCUGGGAACUGCAUCUGAUACUGGUAAGCUAGAGUUUUGGAGAGGGAAGUAGAAUUUCAGGUGUAGCGGUGAAAUGCAUAGAGAUCUGAAGGAAUACCAGUGGCGAAGGCGACUUCCUGGCCAAAAACUGACGCGGAGGUGCGAAAGCGUGGGUAGCAAACGGGAUUAGAAACCCUAGUAGUCC